UACGUAGCAGCGAGCGUUGUUCGGAAUUACUGGGCGUAAAGAGUGUGUAGGCGGUGCUCCCAGUCUGUUGUGAAAUCUCCCGGCUUAACUGGGAGGGUGCAGCGGAAACUAGAGUGCUAGAGGGUGGGAGAGGUAAGCGGAAUUCCUGGUGUAGCGGUGAAAUGCGUAGAUAUCAGGAGGAACACCGGUGGUGUAAACGGCUUUCUGGACCAUAACUGACGCUGAUGCACGAAAGCGUGGGUAGCAAACAGG
rnacentral:rRNA from 1 species